GAUGAACGCUGGCGGCGUGCCUAAUACAUGCAAGUCGAGCGAACAGACGAGAGUGCUUGCACUCUCUGACGUUGGCGGCGGACGGGUGAGUAACACGUGGGUAACCUACCUAUAAGACUGGGAUAACUUCGGGAAACCGGAGCUAAUACCGGAUAAUAUUUAGCUUCGCAUGAAGCAAUAGUGAAAGACGGUUCUGCUGCCACUUAUAGAUGGACCCGCGGUGUAUUAGCUAGUUGGUGAGGUAACGGCUCACCAAGGCAACGAUACAUAGCCGACCUGAGAGGGUGAUCGGCCACACUGGGACUGAGACACGGCCCAGACUCCUACGGGAGGCAGCAGUAGGGAAUCUUCCGCAAUGGACGAAAGUCUGACGGAGCAAUGCCGCGUGAGUGAAGAAGGUUUUCGGAUCGUAAAACUCUGUUGUAAGGGAAGAACAAGUACGUUAGUAACUGAACGUACCUUGACGGUACCUUACCAGAAAGCCACGGCUAACUACGUG
rnacentral:rRNA from 1 species